rnacentral:rRNA from 1 species
UACGUAGGGUGCGAGCGUUAAUCGGAAUUACUGGGCGUAAAGCGUGCGCAGGCGGCUUCGCAAGUCAGACGUGAAAUCCCCGGGCUUAACCUGGGAAUGGCGUUUGAAACUACGGAGCUGGAGUAUGGCAGAGGGGGGUGGAAUUCCACGUGUAGCGGUGAAAUGCGUAGAUAUGUGGAGGAACACCGAUGGCGAAGGCAGCCCCCUGGGCCGACAUUGACGCUCAGGCACGAAAGCGUGGGGAGCAAACAGG